rnacentral:rRNA from 1 species
UACGGAGGAUGCGAGCGUUAUCCGGAUUUAUUGGGUUUAAAGGGUGCGUAGGCGGACUGUCAAGUCAGCGGUAAAAUUGAGAGGCUCAACCUCUUCCCGCCGUUGAAACUGGUGGUCUUGAGUGGAUGAGAAGUACGCGGAAUGCGUGGUGUAGCGGUGAAAUGCAUAGAUAUCACGCAGAACUCCGAUUGCGAAGGCAGCGUACCGGCAUCCAACUGACGCUGAGGCACGAAAGCGUGGGGAUCAAACGGG